CGGGGUGUGGCGCAGUUUGGUAGCGCACUUGGUUUGGGACCAAGGGGUCGCAGGUUCGAAUCCUGUCGCCCCGACCA
rnacentral:tRNA from 1 species